GAAAAAUGAAGAUUUUGACUUUCUUUGUGCUCGUGAUAUUCUGUUCCUGUCUCUGCAUUUGAAAAAGGGAAACGCUCACCUUUCACUCUGUGAAUUCUAAAUGCCAUCAACAAAAUUGCCAGUGGUACAAAAAAUGAUAAAAUUAAUAUGUUUCAAAACUUCAUGACCUCAGUUACUUGGAAAGGACAAACAAACAGAGAAGCAUCCAUACACAUGAGUUAUCAUUUUGUUGUUACUAAACAGGAUGGACCCUGAACCAGCAUGAUUGGCAUCUUCAUUAAAGAAAAAGAGGCACCAAGAUGGAUAUAGAAGGAGAGUUUCACAUGAUGUUGGAGGCACCGAUUGGAAUACUGAGGAUGGCUGCAGCUACCAGAAGCUAAGAAAAGCGUGCUAGGGAAGGGAAUAGAUUUCUUCUUGUGCCAUUACAAAGAGCCUCCUGACACCUUGAUUCCAGUUUUCUAGCCUCCUGCUCUGAGAGAGAUUAAAUUUGUUUCAUGCCACUCAGUCUGCGGCUCAUUGUUACAACAGCCCCAGGAACCUAUUCAACAUAGGUCCAAGCUGGGAGAACUUUAAAGAUACAAAGCUAAAC